AAAUUUACGGAAUUGGAUUUCAAGUUUCGGAACUCGAGAUAUGAUUUUUAAAGCGACUGUGAUGCAGUUAGCCAGCUUGUCUGGAAAUUUUGAAAUGAAUUGUAUGAGCUGUUUAAGUAAUGAAUUAAGUCAGUUAACACCUCGUGUUCGACUCCGGCGACGGUCUCGGGUAUGGGGCAUUACAUUAUUUGUAUUAAAAUACAAUUUAUUUUUAAUUGAAUAUUUAAAUUCUUCAGAAAAAAU
rnacentral:lncRNA from 1 species